UGUAUGCUUGAAGUGGCCGAUUGGGCCU
rnacentral:sRNA from 1 species